UUGAAAGGGAAACGAUUGAAGUCAGUCGUACCGACGAGAAAUCAACUUAUCGUGUGCGAACUUGUGGGCGUGCGUGAGUUUCGGCCUCGCUGUUUGCAUGUUUGUGCGUUUUGGGUGUACUUUUUCGUAUGGUAGGCCGACGUCAGUUUCGAUUAUCAUAAAAUGACCGGCGGAAUGUAGCUUCGAUUUCGGUUGAAGUGUUAUAGCCUCUGGUAGAUGUGGUGAUUGAGACUGAGGAUUGCAACGAAUACCCUUUGGGCUAUCCGUCUGGCCUCUGAAAGUUGCUCAGGUGCCGAAAGCGUGCUUACGGUCAUCUAAGAUAACGUUCAACAGGUUAGAACGUGAUUAUAUUCGUUAAGGAUGUUG
rnacentral:rRNA from 1 species